GAUGAACGCUGGCGGCGUGCCUAAUACAUGCAAGUCGAACGCAUUGUGGUUGAAAUGAUAUGAAGAACUUGUUCAGAUUUGAUUUUCAACAUUGCAAUGAGUGGCGAACGGGUGAGUAACACGUGGGAAACCUACCUCUUAGCAGGGGAUAACAUUUGGAAACAAAUGCUAAUACCGUAUAAUAAUUAAAACCGCAUGGUUUUAGUUUAAAAGAUGGUCUUGCUAUCACUAAGAGAUGGUCCCGCGGUGUAUCAAGAACGAGUGUGAGAGUGGAAAGUUCACACUGUGACGGUAGCUUACCAGAAAGGGACGGCUAACUACGUGCCAGCAGCCGCGGUAAU
rnacentral:rRNA from 1 species